rnacentral:lncRNA from 1 species
GUGUAUUCCCAGUGCUAGGACCACACCUUGCUCAGCACUGUUGCCCUAAACCGGUCUGGCAAUAUAUGGAAUUUAGCCAUGAAAAUAUUAUUGAAUAAAUGCAUUCCUCAAACAUUUUAUUCUAACCAGAUUCAAAACCUGCAAUUACUUCCUGCUUUCUCCAUGACUUUGAGUAAGUUACUCUCUGAAACUCAUUUUUCCUAUUGUAAUGUCUUAUAACGAUAAGGUUGUCCUGAGGAUCAAAUGUAUUAAGUAAAAUACCAGGCAUGGAACUUGCCAUCUAGUAAGUCCCAAUAGUUCCAUAUCAGAGUUCUCUUGCAGUACUAUUGAAAUAUCAUAAAACCUGUCUUUAAAAAAGCUAGCUUUUUCCUAUUAAAUGAGAUCUUUAGGCAUUCUCUCAUAGUUGUAAUUUCAGUAUAGAAUUUAGCUAUAUGGGAAGACACACUAGCACCUAAUCCCAACUAUUUCUAAACAAAAGUGGCAAUACAAUUUAAGGAUAAUAAGAGGAAAGGCUUCAAUAAAUGCACCGGCUAUCGCAUUCCCCACACAGAAAGCGGGAUUUGUUGUGGCAGUAGAGAAACACAUCAAGGAACGGCCAGAUUGCACCUUUUCCUAUGUUUCACAUUAGGUUGCAAUAAACUUUCCACAUCCACGAGGUAUUAUAACAACAUGUCAAGGCAAUUUUAGAUUUAAUGGUAGAAUGCACAUUCUAGUACAAGGGAGAUAAACUUUAAGCUGGGCAGAAUGAAUGUCCUUUCUAGUUGAGAAGAAACAGGAGGCACCAAAACUUCAACUGUCAUCAGAGCAAAGUAAAACAGUACCUGGAUGUUUGGGGGAUCCUUUGGCACUGCUCUGUAAUGAGGAGGUGUAAGAGACUAAUGCCAAACAUAUUGUUAUAAUUUUGUCCGCCAAAGGAAAAAUUUAGCAUGGUGUUAGCUGUGUUCUUUUUAAAUGUAGCCCCACCCUUUCCUGCUUACUUUCUACAAGUUCAAAAUUAAUUAGGAUCUCCUAGACCUGCUUAUUAAAUGAAAAAAACUCCAUCAACAAAACAAAGUUUUAAAAGCUUUAAUCAUCCAGCAGCUAAAACUUCAUGGUGGAGCUGUGUAAUUUUUUUUUAUUAUACUUUAAGUUUCAGGGUACAUGUGCACAACGUGCAGGUUUGUUACAUAUGUAUACAUGUGCCAUGUUGGUGCUGCACCCAUUAACUCGUCAUUUAACGUUAGGUAUAUCUCCUAAUGCUAUCCCUCCCCGCUCCCCCCACCCCACAACAGGCCCCGGUGUGUGAUGUUCCCCUUUCUGUGUCCAUGUGUUCUCAUUGUUCAAUUCCCACCUAUGAGUGAGAACAUGCGGUGUUUGGUU